CCAACGGCCCUCUUUAGGGCCACAAUCAAGUGAACCAAUCUUAU
rfam:Toxocara canis scaffold342, whole genome shotgun sequence.